CUUACUUUUAAUAAAAAACUUGUUAUAAUGUUCUAGAUAUCCAUGAAAUUAGAAAAACCAUUUUAUAAAGGUGUAUGGUCGAAAGAUUCUUUUAUAAUAAACUAAAGUGAAAAAGUACCGUGAGGGAAUGUACGAAAUUUUAAAAAAGUAAGAGUAAAUAUCUGUACCUUUUGUAUGAUGGCUUAUCUAGAGUAAAGCAUGAAUUUGCUUUCCCCGAAAUGAGUUGAGCUACUAAGGUUCUAUGUCAAUGUAGAAAGAUUGUAUAAAGAGGGCUUAGUAGAGGUGAUAUGCCUACCGUAACUUAUGAUAGCUGGUUAGCUAGUAAAGAUAUGAAAGUGUCUGUUUUUAAAAAUUUUUGUUUCUUUUAAGGUUACAAAUAGAUAAAAAACUAAGAUAAUGAAGGAUAAGCUUCUUUAUAAUGUAAAAAUAAAAGUUAAAGAAAAAUUAAAUGUGGGCUUAAGAUUAGCCAUUAGUUAAGUAUCUUGUUAUAAAUUAUAAUUUUCAAAUCUUUAAAUUAAUAAGUUUUAUUUUACAUUUAUUUACUAGCGAUUUUUAGGAAACUUCAAACUAAAAAAAUUUCUGGUAAGAUGAGUAUUUAUAAAAAAAAAAUCUUAUGAUAAAGUAAAAAUAUUAAGAAAAAAAAUUUUUUUUUGUAAAAACAGGCUGAAGGAACUCGGCAAAAAUUUGUUUCGCCAGUUUAUCAAAAACAUGGCUCUUUGUAAAAAAAAGAUAAAGAGUCGGACCUGCCCAGUGAUAAAAUUUAACGGCCGCGGUACCCUGACCGUGCAAAGGUAGCAUAAUCAUUUGCCUUUUAAUUGAAGGCUAGUAUGAAGGGUUUGACGAAAACAAAGCUGUCUCCUGCCUGCUAUUUAAAAAUUAAUUUUGAUGUGAAGAAGCAUUAAUCAACCUAAAAGACAAGAAGACCCUAUUGAGCUUUAAUGGACUAGUAAAAUAAAAAUAUGAAUCAAAAAAUUAUUUUUUCUUUGUCUAUUUUAGUUGGGGCGACUAAGGAACAUAAGAGCUUCCUUUUUUAACAAAGACAUAUUUGUUGUGAUCCAAGCAUAUUGAUUAAAAAAAUUAGUUACCAUAGGGAUAACAGCGUAAUCCUUUUUGAGAGUUCCUAUCGAAAAAAGGGCUUGCGACCUCGAUGUUGGAUUAAGAUUUCCAAUUGGUGUAGAAGCUUUUUUGGUUGGUCUGUUCGACCAUUAAAAUCUUACAUGAUCUGAGUUCAGACCGGCGUAAGCCAGGUCGGCUUCUAUCUUUAGAGAAAAGUUUUUUAGACUAGUACGAAAGGACCGUUUUAAAAUAAAGUAUUUAAUAACUAGAUAAAG
rnacentral:rRNA from 1 species